rnacentral:tRNA from 2 species
GGCUCGUAGCUCAGUUGGUUAGAGCACCACCUUGACAUGGUGGGGGUCGUUGGUUCGAAUCCAAUCGAGCCUACCAA